rnacentral:lncRNA from 1 species
UUUAUUUCAAUAAGUUAGUUUAGGACGUGGAAGACGCUUCUCACAAUCCAAAUUCCUCCUUAGUUUUAGUUUGAUUAGGAAACGUUCGCUAAUCAAACUCUAGUUAACAAGUUACCAAGGAACGUCCUUGGGGCUUUUAGCAUCGAACAACUGUUAACUGCAUUAGGACUUAGAGAAACCCAACUCUAACCUUGCCAACCGCGUGGUCAAGUUUAGAUUAUGCAACUGAUUAUACUUGUGAUUAAAUAACCUAAGCAAUUACGGA